rnacentral:rRNA from 1 species
UACAGAGGGGGCAAGCGUUGUUCGGAAUUACUGGGCGUAAAGGGCGCGUAGGCGGCCUGUUAAGUCGAACGUGAAAUCCCCGGGCUCAACCCGGGAACUGCGUCCGAUACUGGCAGGCUUGAAUCCGGGAGAGGGAUGCGGAAUUCCAGGUGUAGCGGUGAAAUGCGUAGAUAUGCGGAGGAACACCGAUGGCGAAGGCAAUCCCCUGGGCCUGUACUGACGCUCAUGCACGAAAGCGUGGGGAGCAAACAGG